rnacentral:rRNA from 1 species
AGUGAACGCUGGCGGUAGGCCUAACACAUGCAAGUCGAACGGCAGCACAGUAAGAGCUUGCUCUUACGGGUGGCGAGUGGCGGACGGGUGAGGAAUACAUCGGAAUCUACUUUUUCGUGGGGGAUAACGUAGGGAAACUUACGCUAAUACCGCAUACGACCUACGGGUGAAAGCAGGGGAUCUUCGGACCUUGCGCGAUUGAAUGAGCCGAUGUCGGAUUAGCUAGUUGGCGGGGUAAAGGCCCACCAAGGCGACGAUCCGUAGCUGGUCUGAGAGGAUGAUCAGACACACUGGAAAUGAGACACGGUGCAGAGUCAUACUGGAGGAGGCAGUGGGGAAUAUUGGACAAUGGGCGCAAGCCUGAUCCAGCCAUACCGCGUGGGUGAAGAAGGCCUGCGGUUUGUAAAUCCCUUUUGUGGGGAAAUAAAAGCAGCAGGUUAAUACCCCGCUGUUCUGACGGUACCCAAAGAAUAAGCACCGGCUAACUUCGUG